rnacentral:rRNA from 1 species
GAUGAACGCUGGCGGCGUGCCUAAUACAUGCAAGUCGAGCGAACGGACGAGAAGCUUGCUUCUCUGAUGUUAGCGGCGGACGGGUGAGUAACACGUGGAUAACCUACCUAUAAGACUGGGAUAACUUCGGGAAACCGGAGCUAAUACCGGAUAAUAUUUUGAACCGCAUGGUUCAAAAGUGAAAGACGGUCUUGCUGUCACUUAUAGAUGGAUCCGCGCUGCAUUAGCUAGUUGGUAAGGUAACGGCUUACCAAGGCAACGAUGCAUAGCCGACCUGAGAGGGUGAUCGGCCACACUGGAACUGAGACACGGUCCAGACUCCUACGGGAGGCAGCAGUAGGGAAUCUUCCGCAAUGGGCGAAAGCCUGACGGAGCAACGCCGCGUGAGUGAUGAAGGUCUUCGGAUCGUAAAACUCUGUUAUUAGGGAAGAACAUAUGUGUAAGUAACUGUGCACAUCUUGACGGUACCUAAUCAGAAAGCCACGGCUAACUACGUGCCAGCAGCCGCGGUAAUACGUAGGUGGCAAGCGUUAUCCGGAAUUAUUGGGCGUAAAGCGCGCGUAGGCGGUUUUUUAAGUCUGAUGUGAAAGCCCACGGCUCAACCGUGGAGGGUCAUUGGAAACUGGAAAACUUGAGUGCAGAAGAGGAAAGUGGAAUUCCAUGUGUAGCGGUGAAAUGCGCAGAGAUAUGGAGGAACACCAGUGGCGAAGGCGACUUUCUGGUCUGUAACUGACGCUGAUGUGCGAAAGCGUGGGGAUCAAACAGGAUUAGAUACCCUGGUAGUCCACGCCGUAAACGAUGAGUGCUAAGUGUUAGGGGGGUUCCGCCCCUUAGUGCUGCAGCUAACGCAUUAAGCACUCCGCCUGGGGAGUACGACCGCAAGGUUGAAACUCAAAGGAAUUGACGGGGACCCGCACAAGCGGUGGAGCAUGUGGUUUAAUUCGAAGCAACGCGAAGAACCUUACCAAAUCUUGACAUCCUUUGACAACUCUAGAGAUAGAGCUUUCCCCUUCGGGGGACAAAGUGACAGGUGGUGCAUGGUUGUCGUCAGCUCGUGUCGUGAGAUGUUGGGUUAAGUCCCGCAACGAGCGCAACCCUUAAGCUUAGUUGCCAUCAUUAAGUUGGGCACUCUAAGUUGACUGCCGGUGACAAACCGGAGGAAGGUGGGGAUGACGUCAAAUCAUCAUGCCCCUUAUGAUUUGGGCUACACACGUGCUACAAUGGACAAUACAAAGGGCAGCGAAACCGCGAGGUCAAGCAAAUCCCAUAAGGUUGUUCUCAGUUCGGAUUGUAGUCUGCAACUCGACUACAUGAAGCUGGAAUCGCUAGUAAUCGUAGAUCAGCAUGCUACGGUGAAUACGUUCCCGGGUCU